rnacentral:rRNA from 1 species
GACGAACGCUGGCGGCGUGCUUAACACAUGCAAGUCGAACGCUGACGCUUGGUGCUUGCACUGUGUGGAUGAGUGGCGAACGGGUGAGUAAUACGUGAGUAACCUGCUCUUGACUCUGGGAUAAGCAUGGGAAACUGGUUCUAAUACUGGAUACGACAUGUCACCGCAUGGUGGUGUGUGGAAAGGGUUUUACUGGUUUUGGAUGGGCUCACGGCCUAUCAGCUUGUUGGUGGGGUAAUGGCUCACCAAGGCGACGACGGGUAGCCGGCCUGAGAGGGUGACCGGCCACACUGGGACUGAGACACGGCCCAGACUCCUACGGGAGGCAGCAGUGGGGAAUAUUGCACAAUGGGCGGAAGCCUGAUGCAGCGACGCCGCGUGAGGGAUGACGGCCUUCGGGUUGUAAACCUCUUUCAGCAAGGAAGAAGCGAAAGUGACGGUACGUGCAGAAGAAGCGCCGGCUAACUACGUG